GCGCUCAUAGCUCAGUUGGAUAGAGCAACUGCCUUCUAAGCAGUAGGUCGUAGGUUCGAGUCCUACUGGGCGCG
rnacentral:tRNA from 1 species